rnacentral:tRNA from 1 species
GUUGUGGCUCUGUGGUAGAGUGCUUGCCUAGCACACGUGAGGCACUGGGUUCGAUCCUGAGCACAACA